rnacentral:lncRNA from 1 species
GUUUUGUUUUUAUGAUAGUACAUUAUAAAAAUGACUUAGACUCUUCUGUCUUAUUUUGUAUGAAGGUAUGAAAUAUGGAGUGGUUCAGUAUAUUGAAUGUGUGUCUAAAUAUGCCGUAAGUGUCCCUGGCAGGCCAUCUUUCGAUGACUGGCACUAGUCGGCUACUUAGUCUGGAGUCUAUUGAUCUGGCUUUGCCAUCAGAGGUAGUUGAUUAAGAACAAAAUUAUUGAAUUCUUAAAUGAUAGUUCUAGUAGAAAUAGAAAGCUUUGGACAGUUCAUUUUGGGUCAAAUAACAGAAUAAAUAUUAUCCACUCAUGUGUUCAUCCAACAAUCGUGUUUGAGAAUUCACUUUGUGAAAGGCACAGUUGGUGGGCUGCCUUUAUGCAUUGCAUGUAUUUGGUUCAAAAAUCUUCUCAGUGUCUCCUCCGCGUUAAUCUCCUUUGUGUCUUUUUCCUGUAAUGACAUUAUUUGUAAUGCAAACUUAUUCUAAUACCAUGUAGGUAUCUAUGUUGUGUAAUUUCAAGAAUACUAAGUUGAUAAAAUGCUCUAGAAAGCAUACAUUUAAACUUAAGUAUCUAAUCCCUCAAGCAAAUUUACUAGAGUUUCAGAUGAAUAUAUAUUUUUGUAACUGCCAAGUAAAUGAGUAGAACAUAGCUUUUUUGUUUAAAAAUAUUUUUGUAAGUAUGCAUUUACACAGUAUUCAUUAUUUUAAACAUUAAAAUAUCAAGUGGGUUCUAUAAAUAGUGAUUCUUUUGAAUAUAUCCAUAUUUAACAUUGUAUAACACCCAAACUGUAAUGACAAAUGUCAUAUGAAUAUGUUAUUAUAGUAGUGUGUUUUUUCCUUUGUAAAAUAUGUGUAACAUAGUUUGAAUCUCUCAGUAUUUUGUGCAUGGUUAAAAUAAUCAA